CAUCAUUCCAUCGUCAUAUUCUCUCUCUCUCCUCCCCGAUUCCCCACCACCACCCAUCGCACCAAAUUCCUUUCUAGGGUUUGGUUCCCCCGUCCGGUCUCUCUCGAUCAGGUAACUCUCCCUUGCCAUCCGCCCUCCCGCCCGAUCCGAUCCAGCGAUUCGAGGCCUCGCAUCUCCGUCGAUGAAUUUCCCCCCAUUUUUUGCACGCCAAGUUUCGGCUGAAUCGGCCGGUCGUUGCUUGUAGAUUUAUAAAUUUGUUGAAAUUUUUCUGAGGGGGAGGCUAGAUUCCCAUCCUUCCGGAAGUAAAUAAAUAGGGAUGAUCGCUUGCAUGCAUGCGUCUAGGGUUUAUUUCGGUGGAUUAUGUUCCGUAGACCUGUUACCUUUUGUGUGACCACCAUGGCGGUGUCUUGAUUGGAGCUUAAAGGAUUGUGUAGCCAUGGAUAAGGGCCUCUUCGCCAACGACGGCUCCUUCAUGGAGAGAUUCAAGCAGAUGCAGCAGGAGAUGCAGGACAAGGAGAAGCCCGCAGCCCCCGCCACCACCACUGGUGCUGUCUCCUCUGCGCCGGCCAAGCCUGUCAACCCCAAGACGCCCCUUGUCAUUGUGGCAAACAAGAGGCCGCUCGAGGUGAAGAAGUCCGGCUCGGUCUUGUCGGGCGGGAAGCUGGCCUUUAGCCUCAAGAAGAACAAGAUCCCCAUUGUGCCUGUCAAGUUUGGAGCCGAGGAGGAGGACGACGACGACGUUGCCGGUGUGGAGAGGGGGGAUCAUGCGAAGCGGCACAAGUCCAUUGAUGCUCCCUCAGCUGCUGCCCCAGCUAGGGUUGUUGGUAAUCAUUUUGUUUCAUUUGCUGCUAUUACUGUAUUUCUCUCUUAUGAAUACUCUCUGAGAUCAUAUGCCCUUACCAUGGGUAGUAGCUUUAAGGGCUUCGAAUUCUGACAAAUAUUUUUGAACAUUAGAAAUGUUGUAUCUUCUAUGCACAUGUGUUCAAUUGUGAUCAAGAUUGUCUCAAAUGUGAUGAACUUAUUCUGAGCUAAACAUGUUGGUGCAAAAAACAGUUGUUUCUUGGCUCUUGACCUGAGAAUUGCAAUACUUACAAAGAUACACUGCUUAUCUGAUAUUUUAAUCAUCAUAGUAUUUAAAUCUUACCUGUCAACUUAACUAAUAAAAUCAAUUGACAUUGCACAACACCAGUGAAACUCUGCUUUUGCCUAGCCAUGCAUAAAUUAGCAGCUUGUCAAAUAUGGACUUCAGUCCUCAGCAUCUAAUAUGCUCCAACUGGUGUUAUUUAACUAAUAAAAUCAAUUUACAUUGCACCAGUGAAACUCUGCUUUUGCCUAGCUAUGCAUAAAUUAGUAGCUUGUCAAAUAUGGACAUCGGUCCUCGGCAUCUGUAAUAUUCUCCAACUCCUAUUAUUUAACUACUAAUAAAAUCAAUUUACAUUGCACACUACCAGUGAAAAUCUGCUUUUGCCUAGCCAUCCAUACAUUAGUAGCUUGUCUAAUAUGGACAUCAGUUCUCAGCACCUGUAAUAUGUUCCAAAUGCUAUUAGCAGCAGAAAGUUGUGAAGGUUUUGGUUUUUUUUAUGGCUGCAGCUUAUAGAUUAACUGUAUCGACGUGGCUGGGAAGGAUGUUGAUUGAAAGGGUUGGAAAUAUGGCGCUACUGCUACUGCAGUAAUUUGCAUUCCCUUGUUCACGCGCUUGAUAUUAAUGAGUUCUUAAGUGACAUGCAGCCUCAGCACCACCAAAUGAUAUGACAGUGAGGCAGGUUGCUGACAAAUUAGCAAGCUUUGUUGCCAAAAAUGGGAGACAGUUUGAGGAUAUUACACGCCAGAAGAAUCCUGGAGAUUCACCAUUCAAGUUUCUGUUUGAUAAGAACUGUUCAGACUACAAAUAUUAUGAGACUCGGCUUGCUGAAGAGGAAAAGGUGCAUGCUCAGACAAAGGAUGCUCAGGCUUCAAAAAUUGUUAAUUCAAGCACUGCAAGCUCCAUAGCACAUACUGGUGCACAGAGAAGCUCAUUUGAACAAAGAUCUAACUAUCAAACACCUGCUUCCGCUUUAUAUGGGGCAUAUGAAGGUAGUUCAUCCCAGGGAAGCUCAUCUAGUCAUGGUGGUCAAAGUAUGUCUGCACCCUCAGAUCCAGUAGCAUUGAUGGAAUUCUACAUGAAGAAAGCUGCACAGGAAGAACGGAAGAGACCACCAAGGCAGUCAAAAGACGAAAUGCCACCACCUCCAUGCCUUAUUCAGGGUCCUCCUAAGAAGGGACACCACAUGGGGGACUUCAUUCCUCAAGAAGAACUCGAGAAGUUCAUGGCACGCUGUAAUGAUGCUGCAGCACAAAAGGCUACCAAAGAAGCUGCAGAGAAGGCUAAGAUUCAGGCCGAUAAUAUUGGGCACAAGCUUCUGUCUAAGAUGGGCUGGAGGGAAGGUGAGGGUCUUGGCAGCGAGAGAAGUGGCCGUGCAGAUCCCAUUAUGGCUGGAGAUGUGAAACAGGACCACCUUGGUGUUGGUGCUAUCCAACCUGGUGAGGUGUCAUCUGAAGAUGACAUCUACGAGCAAUACAAGAAGCGAAUGAUGCUAGGCUACCGCCAUAGGCCGAACCCACUGAACAACCCAAGGAAACAAUACUACUGAUACAAGGGGAGGUCAGCCGGGGGGAGACGUAAGAAACCAAUUUUGCUGCAAUGUUUUGCUCACAGAACUAACUGCUGCUUUGGGAAAUGACUAACAGUAUUGAAAGCUUUGUUCAUCAGCAGAGAAGCCCAGAAGUUGAUUUAUUCAGCAAGUAACUUGGGAUGCCACAGCUUUGGGGCUUCCUGGGGUUCUGCAGUAGCCUUGCUGUUUUAGUGUUUGUUUAAGUACUACUACUAUGAAUGUGUCCUACGGCGGUGUUUUAUGCCAAAGUUGAUGUUUCAAAUGGUGAUGUAUUUCUACCUCUGUUGAUGGACAAUGUAACUUUGUGAUUAUGGAUUUUCUGCUGGGACUUCCUUCAGUUGAUUACUGUUUC
rnacentral:rRNA from 1 species